rnacentral:rRNA from 1 species
GAACUGAAGAGUUUGAUCCUGGCUCAGAUUGAACGCUGGCGGGAUGCUUUACACAUGCAAGUCGGACGGCAGCACGGGCUUCGGCCUGGUGGCGAGUGGCGAACGGGUGAGUAAUGUAUCGGAACGUGCCCAGUAGCGGGGGAUAACUACGCGAAAGCGUGGCUAAUACCGCAUACGCCCUACGGGGGAAAGCGGGGGACCUUCGGGCCUCGCACUAUUGGAGCGGCCGAUAUCGGAUUAGCUAGUUGGUGGGGUAACGGCCUACCAAGGCGACGAUCCGUAGCUGGUUUGAGAGGACGACCAGCCACACUGGGACUGAGACACGGCCCAGACUCCUACGGGAGGCAGCAGUGGGGAAUUUUGGACAAUGGGGGCAACCCUGAUCCAGCCAUCCCGCGUGUGCGAUGAAGGCCUUCGGGUUGUAAAGCACUUUUGGCAGGAAAGAAACGGCACGGGCUAAUAUAUCCUGUGCAACUGACGGUACCUGCAGAAUAAGCACCGGCUAACUACGUGCCAGCAGCCGCGGUAAUACGUAGGGUGCAAGCGUUAAUCGGAAUUACUGGGCGUAAAGCGUGCGCAGGCGGUUCGGAAAGAAAGAUGUGAAAUCCCAGGGCUUAACCUUGGAACUGCAUUUUUAACUACCGGGCUAGAGUGUGUCAGAGGGAGGUGGAAUUCCGCGUGUAGCAGUGAAAUGCGUAGAUAUGCGGAGGAACACCGAUGGCGAAGGCAGCCUCCUGGGAUAACACUGACGCUCAUGCACGAAAGUGUGGGGAGCAAACAGGAUUAGAUACCCUGGUAGUCCACGCCCUAAACGAUGUCAACUAGCUGUUGGGGCCUUCGGGCCUUGGUAGCGCAGCUAACGCGUGAAGUUGACCGCCUGGGGAGUACGGUCGCAAGAUUAAAACUCAAAGGAAUUGACGGGGACCCGCACAAGCGGUGGAUGAUGUGGAUUAAUUCGAUGCAACGCGAAAAACCUUACCUACCCUUGACAUGUCUGGAAUCCCGAAGAGAUUUGGGAGUGCUCGCAAGAGAACCGGAACACAGGUGCUGCAUGGCUGUCGUCAGCUCGUGUCGUGAGAUGUUGGGUUAAGUCCCGCAACGAGCGCAACCCUUGUCAUUAGUUGCUACGAAAGGGCACUCUAAUGAGACUGCCGGUGACAAACCGGAGGAAGGUGGGGAUGACGUCAAGUCCUCAUGGCCCUUAUGGGUAGGGCUUCACACGUCAUACAAUGGUCGGGACAGAGGGUUGCCAACCCGCGAGGGGGAGCCAAUCCCAGAAACCCGGUCGUAGUCCGGAUCGCAGUCUGCAACUCGACUGCGUGAAGUCGGAAUCGCUAGUAAUCGCGGAUCAGCAUGUCGCGGUGAAUACGUUCCCGGGUCUUGUACACACCGCCCGUCACACCAUGGGAGUGGGUUUUACCAGAAGUAGUUAGCCUAACCGCAAGGGGGGCGAUUACCACGGUAGGAUUCAUGACUGGGGUGAAGUCGUAACAAGGUAGCCGUAUCGGAAGGUGCGGCUGGAUCACCUCCUUU